rnacentral:misc_RNA from 1 species
GUUUGAUACCAGUUCUGCUAGUCAGCUACCUUUGACCUCACAAAUUUUAUUGCAGUCUCCAGUACCUAAACCAGUAUCUGCUACUGCUCCAGUUUGUGCUAUUGAUGAUGCUCAUCCUCUUAGAGAGCUGCCUCCUCCGCCUCCUCUCAUAAUAUCACGUGACACUAGUGCUGAGGUCCCAAUGCCUGCCCCCUAUAAUUU